GAAAGAAAAGAAAAAAAAAAAGCUCGUGAGGAUUCUAGGGCGUCAGAUGCGAGGGCUUAUUUCUAAAUAACCGUUCAGCGAUCAGGGAGCGAGCUUUCCUUCCGCCACCAAGUUCAGCUCUCCUUCCUCUCUCUCCAAGGAAAGUGACUCGAUAAGGCGCUCCCGUUCCCCAGUCCCCUCCUUAGUGUGGCCUGCGCGGGCCCCGCCGCGGAGAGGGGUGCGCCUCCCGGACCUCAAACCCACAGCAGCGAGCCCUUCCUUUGUGCCUGCCCUUGGCUGUGAACUUUCCCGCGCGGUGGGUUCUCCUUUAAGAAAGUAGCGAUCUCUAUGAAUAUUUAAUGCCGGGCGCCGGCCGCCCGGGCGGAGGGGAGCCCCGCGCCCGGGUCCCCGCAGCCAGGACGGGAAACCGCGGGCCGGGGCGCGCGGCCUGCCGCGUUCAUUUCCAUAAGAAAGCCGGCCGCGCGGCUGGAGGGAGGAUUCGCGCCCGGCCGCCCUCCCCCGGACCCCCGGCUUUCUGCUAGAAGCGGGCUCGGGAGCUCAGAGCCCCAAGUGUGCGCUCUCGUCUCCGAUGGUAUCGACAAAGUGUGGUUUCAAAUGUUGCCCCGACUGAGGCCGGUUUCCUGUCUGUGUGCGGAGUGGAAGGACCGCGCCGGGCCCUGGUGACUCAGAUGCCCGCCAGCCCCGCAAGCUCCCUUCUCCAGUGCGCUCGCUCUCGCCCAGCAGGGACGCGCGGGGAGUCCUCCGGGGCGCACCACCAGGUAUCGCCAGGCCAGAUCGCCGCCCACCACCUUCCCGGGGCCAACCGAGGGUGACCCGUGUGGCCCAACCAAACCAGCGCCUCGCUGGGCUGCCCGGGGCCGGGGCCCAGCCACCCACCCUUGCCCGCGGGGGCCUGCAGGAGCGCGGGGCGCGGCUGCGAAGCAACCCCGCACCAUUGACAGCCCGGGCACGUCCGCGGAGCCCUGGGGAACAAUCAACGGACUCUCUGUCCUGAGGAGCUGGGGACACGCCUGGAAGGUGUGUGAUCCUGUAAAGAUCCGUGGUACCACUUUCGCUGGAAUCCUUUGUUACAGCUUUGUCAGCUGGUGCGCCUUCCUGGCCCCCCAACUCCCAAUCACCACCCCGUGCGGAGGGGGCCUGUCGCUGGGGAUCAGCUGGGACCCACCGCCCCGCUCCAGAUCCCCUCCUGCAAAAUGCUUGUCCUUUGGCUUCAUCUCCCCUUCACGCUGGGGGCAAAAGAACACGGUUUGCAACGCCUGCGCCUUUGGGGCGAGGUUCUCCCAGAAGAACAGGCUUCCUGAAUGUGACCUCGGGCUGCUGCAGCGGCGCCCUCCUCCUCCUGCUGCUGGUGAAAGGACAGCUCUCCUGCCUCAGGCCGGGGUGGCUGGGGUGUGCACAGCAGGGCCGUGGCCAGGGGGUGACCUGCCCCCCCCACAGUGAGGAUUUGAGGAUUCUGACAGAAAGAGCAAGGCCUUUCUGCCUGCACGUAGUCAUUUGCAGAAAAACCAAGGCUGAGCCCCUCUCCCUGCAGAAAGUACUAUAUGUUAGGCCCUCCUCUUUGAUACACUGAGGAAAACCUGUGGGAUCAGGGACACGGAUGUCACUGGACCUGCCUAGCAUCCCUCUCGCAUAAAAAACCUCCAGGACAACUCUUAAACAGAUCUUGGAAGAGUCAGACAUCUCUCAGGUCUGAAACAUUUUUAAAGCCCUGUUUGGAAGAAAUCUUGGAGGAGCACGAGUUACAAUCAGUAGGAUUGCCUGAGCAAGUGAUGCUGUCCUGUCUGAUUGGACCUAUUUAAUUUAUUUUUUUAAACUCUGCUGGAGAGUUUUCAACCUUGGAGAUGUCAAUGAAAAAUAGACUCUCUCUGAGAUUCUUACAGGGGGCCGAAUGGAAGCACCAUGCCUGGUUCCCCCUCACACCUCUAAGUGGUCCUGCCUGAAACUGGGUGGGCUGAGGGUGGUAGGUUUGGGCACCUUUUAUUUCAGGGCUGGGUCAAGGCGAGCUCUUUGAAAUGAAUAUCUAUUCUAUUUCAGUGUGCAAAGUUCCAGCCUACUAAAUGGGCUUGCCUUGUGCCGGGAGGGAGGCAGCCCUGCAGGACAGAACUAAUGUGUGAUUUCUCAGGAAGCUCUUCGUCACAACAUCCCUUGUCCUUUUGUUUUUGUUUUUGAAUUAAAAGAAGAUGUGUUUGCUUUCC